AAGAGAUUCAUUUAUCCUUGAAAAAUGAAAAAGUAGAGUGCUGGUGGUGAUCAUGUCUUCCCUUCACCCAUGGGGACUUUUCAUUUAUCGCUGCCACUCCAGCAUGUUCACUAUUCUCUGUAGCAUGAAAAUCUGAUAAAGCUCAUGAGGGGAGAGAAAACUUAACUUCAAUAUUUUCCUGCUGAGCCUGAGAGUGCUUUGUAUACCCUAGCAAGAUGAAAAUCUUAGCUGCAGCAUCAGGAAGAG
rnacentral:lncRNA from 1 species